UACGGAGGAUGCAAGCGUUAUCCGGAUUCAUUGGGUUUAAAGGGUGCGUAGGCGGUCUUAUAAGUCAGUGGUGAAAUACUGCAGCUCAACUGUAGAACU
rnacentral:rRNA from 1 species